UUAUUAUCAACUCGAUCUCAACUUACACAUGCAAGUAUCAGCACACCCGUGAGAACGCCCUUCACCUUAAUAGGACAAGGAGCUGGUAUCAGGCACAGGUCCUUACAACCCCUAGCCCAUAACACCUAGCUUUGCCACACCCUCAAGGGUACUCAGCAGUGAUCAAUAUUGUAUAUAAGCGCCAGCUUGACUCAGUAAGAGAAUUUAGAGCCGGCCAAUACGGUGCCAGCCGCCGCGGCUACACCGCUAGGCUCAAGUUGAUAAUACUCGGCGUUAAGCGUGUUUAAAGUUAUAAAGAUUAGGGUUAAACUCUAACCAAGUUGUGACACACUUGUUUCUUAGAAAUCCAAAACGAAAGUUAUCCUAACCAGACCACUUGAACCCACGACAGCUAGGGCACAAACUGGGAUUAGGUACCCCACUAUGCCUAGCCGUAAAAUAUUUACUCACACAACCAACCGCCGGGGUAUUACGAGCCCAAGCUUAAAACCCAAAGGACUUGACGGUGUCCCACCCACCUAGAGGAGCCUGUUCUAUAAUCGAUUCCCCCCGAUUCACCUCACCCCUUCUAGCCUAUCAGCCUGUAUACCUCCGUCGUAAGCUUACCAUAUGAACGAUUUAGUGAGCCAAAAGAUUUUCCGUAAAUACGUCAGGUCAAGGUGCAGCCCACGAAGUGGCAAGAAAUGGGCUACAAUUUCUAUAAUAGAACACAACGAAAGACUACAUGCAACAAAGUCAUGAAGGCGGAUUUAGUAGUAAAAAGGAACUAGAGAGUCCAUUUUAAUUAGGCGCUGGGACGCGUACACACCGCCCGUCACCCUCUUCAAAUGCCUAAGAUUAGUUAAUAACGAACCAUAUGCAAAACAGAAGAGGUAAGUCGUAACACGGUAAGCGUACUGGAAAGUGUGCUUGGAUAAACAAA
rnacentral:ncRNA from 1 species